rnacentral:rRNA from 1 species
UGCAAGUCGAGCGGUAGCACAGAGAGCUUGCUCUCGGGUGACGAGCGGCGGACGGGUGAGUAAUGUCUGGGAAACUGCCUGAUGGAGGGGGAUAACUACUGGAAACGGUAGCUAAUACCGCAUAACGUCGCAAGACCAAAGUGGGGGACCUUCGGGCCUCAUGCCAUCAGAUGUGCCCAGAUGGGAUUAGCUAGUAGGUGGGGUAACGGCUCACCUAGGCGACGAUCCCUAGCUGGUCUGAGAGGAUGACCAGCCACACUGGAACUGAGACACGGUCCAGACUCCUACGGGAGGCAGCAGUGGGGAAUAUUGCACAAUGGGCGCAAGCCUGAUGCAGCCAUGCCGCGUGUGUGAAGAAGGCCUUCGGGUUGUAAAGCACUUUCAGCGGGGAGGAAGGCGGUAAGGUUAAUAACCUUGUCGAUUGACGUUACCCGCAGAAGAAGCACCGGCUAACUCCGUGCCAGCAGCCGCGGUAAUACGGAGGGUGCAAGCGUUAAUCGGAAUUACUGGGCGUAAAGCGCACGCAGGCGGUCUGUCAAGUCGGAUGUGAAAUCCCCGGGCUCAACCUGGGAACUGCAUUCGAAACUGGCAGGCUAGAGUCUUGUAGAGGGGGGUAGAAUUCCAGGUGUAGCGGUGAAAUGCGUAGAGAUCUGGAGGAAUACCGGUGGCGAAGGCGGCCCCCUGGACAAAGACUGACGCUCAGGUGCGAAAGCGUGGGGAGCAAACAGGAUUAGAUACCCUGGUAGUCCACGCCGUAAACGAUGUCGAUUUGGAGGUUGUGCCCUUGAGGCGUGGCUUCCGGAGCUAACGCGUUAAAUCGACCGCCUGGGGAGUACGGCCGCAAGGUUAAAACUCAAAUGAAUUGACGGGGGCCCGCACAAGCGGUGGAGCAUGUGGUUUAAUUCGAUGCAACGCGAAGAACCUUACCUGGUCUUGACAUCCACAGAACUUAGCAGAGAUGCUUUGGUGCCUUCGGGAACUGUGAGACAGGUGCUGCAUGGCUGUCGUCAGCUCGUGUUGUGAAAUGUUGGGUUAAGUCCCGCAACGAGCGCAACCCUUAUCCUUUGUUGCCAGCGGUCCGGCCGGGAACUCAAAGGAGACUGCCAGUGAUAAACUGGAGGAAGGUGGGGAUGACGUCAAGUCAUCAUGGCCCUUACGACCAGGGCUACACACGUGCUACAAUGGCAUAUACAAAGAGAAGCGACCUCGCGAGAGCAAGCGGACCUCAUAAAGUAUGUCGUAGUCCGGAUUGGAGUCUGCAACUCGACUCCAUGAAGUCGGAAUCGCUAGUAAUCGUAGAUCAGAAUGCUACGGUGAAUACGUUCCCGGGCCUUGUACACACCGCCCGUCACACCAUGGGAGUGGGUUGCAAAAGAAGUAGGUAGCUUAACCUUCGGGAGGGCGCUUACCAC